rnacentral:misc_RNA from 1 species
GUAGGUGAACCUGCGGAAGGAUCAUUGCCACACACGAUCCAAGAUCGACACUUUAUUGUGAACUGUUAAAUGUUUUGAUUGGUAUUUGUUGUGUUUGGAGGACGUUUUACCGUCAUUCAGCACAAUGAAAAUCAAUUCUAAAUUUUACACCAAUAAUACCAAACAUGAAUUAUACAUUGGAACAUAACUGUUAUACCAAGUUCGUCUUGAUAUAACGCUAGAUUAUUAAUUGUAAAAACAACUUUUAACAACGGAUAUCUAGGUUCUU